AGAGUUUGAUCCUGGCUCAGAUUGAACGCUGACGGCAUGCCUUACACAUGCAAGUCGAACGGUAACAGGCCGCAAGGUGCUGACGAGUGGCGAACGGGUGAGUAAUGCAUCGGAACGUGCCCAGUAGUGGGGGAUAGCCCGGCGAAAGCCGGAUUAAUACCGCAUACGACCUACGGGUGAAAGCGGGGGACCGAAAGGCCUCGCGCUAUUGGAGCGGCCGAUGUCAGAUUAGGUAGUUGGUGGGGUAAAGGCCUACCAAGCCUACGAUCUGUAGCUGGUCUGAGAGGACGACCAGCCACACUGGGACUGAGACACGGCCCAGACUCCUACGGGAGGCAGCAGUGGGGAAUUUUGGACAAUGGGCGCAAGCCUGAUCCAGCCAUGCCGCGUGCGGGAAGAAGGCCUUCGGGUUGUAAACCGCUUUUGUCAGGGAAGAAAUCUUCUGGGUUAAUACCUCGGGAGGAUGACGGUACCUGAAGAAUAAGCACCGGCUAACUACGUGCCAGCAGCCGCGGUAAU
rnacentral:rRNA from 1 species